rnacentral:rRNA from 4 species
CCCGGUGACUUUACUGGAGGGGCCACACCUGUUCCCAUUCCGAACACAGAAGUUAAGCCCUCCGAGGCCGAUGGUACUUACCCCUUCGGGGUUGGGAGAGUAGGAAGUUGCCGGGU